rnacentral:rRNA from 1 species
UACAGAGGUCCCAAGCGUUGUUCGGAUUCACUGGGCGUAAAGGGUGCGUAGGCGGUCGGGUAAGUCUGACGUGAAAUCUUCAAGCUCAACUUGGAAACUGCGUCGGAUACUAUUCGGCUCGAGGAAUGGAGGGGAGACUGGAAUUCUCGGUGUAGCAGUGAAAUGCGUAGAGAUGUGGAGGAACACCGAUGGCGAAGGCAGCCCCCUGGGUCAAAACUGACGCUCAUGCACGAAAGCGUGGGGAGCAAACAGG